CCUACGGGUGACAGCAGUGAGGAAUAUUGGUCAAUGGGCGUAAGCCUGAACCAGCCAAGUCGCGUGAGGGAUGAAGGUUCUACGGAUCGUAAACCUCUUUUAUAAGGGAAUAAAGUGCGGGACGUGUCCCGUUUUGUAUGUACCUUAUGAAUAAGGAUCGGCUAACUCCGUGCCAGCAGCCGCGGUAAUACGGAGGGUCCGAGCGUUAUCCGGAUUUAUUGGGUUUAAAGGGUGCGUAGGCGGCCUUUUAAGUCAGCGGUGAAAUGCCGGGGCUCAACCCUAGCCGUGCCGUUGAAACUGGCAGGCUGGAGUUGGUGAGAAGCAGGCGGAAUGCGUGGUGUAGCGGUGAAAUGCUUAGAUAUCACGCAGAACCCCGAUUGCGAAGGCAGCUUAC
rnacentral:rRNA from 1 species